AGAGUUUGAUCCUGGCUCAGAACGAACGUUGAUGGCGUGCCUCAUACAUGCAAGUCGAGCGCCCCGCAAGGGGAGCGGCGGACGGGUGAGUAACACGUAAAGAAUCUGCCCUAAGGUGGGGAAUAACUAUCCCAACGGAUAGCUAAUACCGCAUAAGGAUGGGAGUGGCAUCACUCCUUCUCGAAAGAUUUAUCGCCUUAGGAUGACUUUGCGUCCCAUUAGCUUGUUGGCGGUGUAACGGACCACCAAGGCGACGAUGGGUAUCCGGCCUGAGAGGGUGUACGGACACAUUGGGACUGAGAUACGGCCCAGACUCCUACGGGAGGCGGCAGUAGGGAAUUUUGCGCAAUGGAGGAAACUCUGACGCAGCAACGCCAUGUGUGGGAUGAAGCAUUUCGGUGUGUAAACCACUGUCAGCGGGGAAUAAAUGGUCUCUUCGGAGGCAGUUGAAUGUACCCGCAAAGGAAGCCCCGGCUAACUUCGUGCCAGCAGCCGCGGUAAUACGAGGGGGGCAAAUGUUGUUCGGAAUCACUGGGCGUAAAGGGAGCGUAGGCGGGCUUUUAAGUUAGGUGUUUAAUCCCGGGGCCCAACCCCGGACAGGCACCUAAAACUGGGAGUCUUGAAUAGUGGAGAGGACGGCGGAACUGGGGGUGUAGCGGUGGAAUGCGUAGAGAUCCCCAAGAACACCAGUUGCGAAGGCGGCCGUCUGGACACAUAUUGACGCUGAGGCUCGAAAGCAUGGGGAGCAAACAGGAUUAGAUACCCUGGUAGUCCAUGCUAUAAACGAUGAAUACUAGGUU
rnacentral:rRNA from 1 species